GACGAACGCUGGCGGCGUGCUUAACACAUGCAAGUCGAACGGAAAGGCCUGCUUUCCCUUGUGGAUUGCGGGUACUCGAGUGGCGAACGGGUGAGUAACACGUGAGUGAUCUGCCCCCAACUUGGGUAUAAGCCUGGGAAACUGGGUCUAAUUCCCGAUAGGACUGCAGGGUGGUGCCUGUGGUGGAAAACGAUUUUCUAGUGGUUGGGGAUGAGCUCGCGGCCUAUCAGCUUGUUGGUGGGGUAAUGGCCUACCAAGGCGGCGACGGGUAGCCGGCCUGGGGGGGUGGACGGCCACAUUGGGACGGAGGUACGGCCCAGACUCCUACGGGAGGCAGCAGUGGGGAAUAUUGCACAAUGGGCGGAAGCCUGAUGCAGCGACGCCGCGUGGGGGAUGACGGCCUUCGGGUAGUAAACUCCUUUCGACCGCGAGGAAGCCACCUGGUUGGAAGGGUGGUGACGGUAGUGGUAGAAGAAGCACCGGCUAACUACGUG
rnacentral:rRNA from 1 species